GGUUGAGGCCAGGAAAUAAAUAAAUUACGGGGGGAGGGGGCGUGGAGCCGGCGCCAGGGUUCGCGGACGCUCACCUUCCGGAGGCGCGCAGGUGUGUUCAAUGUGCGGGCGCAGGCGAGACCCGAGGACUGGCAGGCAGCCGGGCAGUGGAAGCUCGUCUGCCACCUGCUACGUUAGUCGCGGGGGAAGGGAAGAGGAACAGAAUCGAAAUACGCCUCCCACCCCCGCUCCUCUCAAUUCACUGUAGGUGUUUAUCACAGUAGGUCACAGUAUGACCAAGCUUUACUCUCUUCUCUUUUCUCUUACCCUCCAGAAAUUUUAAGAAAAUACACUACCUUUCAAUGAAACGCCUCUCUUUUUCAUCUUCUGCCAGUGCUGUCUAAUCAAAAUAUGAGAGCCACAAAUGCAAGCCACUUACAUAAUUAUAAAUUUUCUAGAAUGCACCUUACGCGAGUGAAAAGAAACAGGUGAAAUUAAUUUACAUAAUAUCAUUUACUUAAGUAGAUUCCAAAUGGUAUCAUUCCAACAUGUAAUUAAUAAAGAUACAAAAUUUUUUCAUACUAAUCAAAAUCCAAUGUGUAUUCUAGGCUUGUGGCAUAUCUCACUUAGGAUGAAGCCAUUUGAAGUGCUCAGUAGCCCUCUGAGGCUAGUUGCUACUGCACUGCACAACAAAUUUCUAUCCAUUAUUUAUGUGUAAAUUAUUGUUUUUUAAAAACCAGCUCUGAUGGUGCUAAAGCCAAAUGAGAGGAAAAUGUAAGUAAUAAAAAGGAAAAAAAAAUGAUUUUUUCAGUAUGAAAUUGAAACAUCUUCACAAAUUGAUUGUAGCCCUGUAUUUUAAGCAAGGCUUAAUGUUUUUCAAUUUUGUCAUCUUGAGAAUCAUUUGUUAGGAAAAAAUAAACCUGUUAACAAUUUCUUCUUGCUAAUAAAGAAAACACUGACAUCUUCACCUAAAUGAAGGAGGAAAAUAGCUCUGAUGAAGGCGUGCAUUCUCAGUCCUGUCCACUCUGUGCAACCCCAUGGACUAUAUAGCCCGCCAGGCUCCUCUGUCCAUGGGAUUCUUCAGGGGAGAACGUUGGAGUGGGUUGCCAUUUCCUCUGCCAGGAGAUUUUCCCAACCCAGGGAUGAAACCCACAUCUUCUUCAUCUCCUGCAUUGGCAGGCAGAUUCUUUAUCAUUGAGCCACCUGUAAAGCCCUAAUGAAGGCAAUCAUGAAUAAAUGUUUAACACUGUUGAUUGUUGGCAAAAAUAAGUCAGGGAUGGAAGCCAGCAAAAAGUGUGGUUCCUCGGUGCUGAGAAAGAAUGUAGGGUUCAAAGUAGGCCAGAAGUUUGGUUUGGAUCCUGGUUUAGACCCUUAAUGCCUGGGUGGUCUUGGGAACUGCUGCUGCUGCUGCUGCUACUGCUAAGUCGCUUCAGUUGUGUCCAACUCUGUGCCACCCCAUAGACGGCAGCCUACCAGGCUCCCCCGUCCCUGGGAUUCUCCAGGCAAGAACACUGGAGUGGGUUGCCAUUUCCUUCUCCAAUGCAUGAAAGUGAAAAGUAAAAGUGAAGUCGCUCAGUCGUGUCUGACUCUUAGUGACCCCAUGGAUUGCAGCCUACCAGGCUCCUCCAUCCAUGGGAUUUUCCAGGCAAGAGUACUGGAGUGUGGUGCCAUUGCCUUCUCCAUUUUAAGGAACACCAAUGUUUAUAAAUGUCACGUAAAAGUCAGAAGACACCUGCAGACUAAGUAACGGGAGUCAUCGCUUUGCAAAGCCGUUUAGCAGUUCUGCCGAAACCAGCCUAGGCCUGGUCAGGACACAACGUCCACCAAGGGCGCUCUCCAGCCCCUGGCUAUUAAUACUCAAAGAAGUACACGGC
ensembl:lncRNA